rnacentral:rRNA from 1 species
GACGAGCGCUGGCGGCGUGCUUAACACAUGCAAGUCGAACGGAAAGGCCUGCUUUCCCUUGUGGAUUGCGGGUACUCGAGUGGCGAACGGGUGAGUAACACGUGAGUGAUCUGCCCCCAACUUGGGUAUAAGCCUGGGAAACUGGGUCUAAUUCCCGAUAGGACUGCAGGGUGGUUCCUGUGGUGGAAAACGAUUUUCUAGUGGUUGGGGAUGAGCUCGCGGCCUAUCAGCUUGUUGGUGGGGUAAUGACCUACCAAGGCGGCGACGGGUAGCCGGCCUGAGAGGGUGGACGGCCACAUUGGGACUGAGAUACGGCCCAGACUCCUACGGGAGGCAGCAGUGGGGAAUAUUGCACAAUGGGCGGAAGCCUGAUGCAGCGACGCCGCGUGGGGGAUGACGGCCUUCGGGUUGUAAACUCCUUUCGACCGCGAGGAAGCCACCUGGUUGGAAGGGUGGUGACGGUAGUGGUAGAAGAAGCACCGGCUAACUACGUG